rnacentral:rRNA from 1 species
ACGGGUUAGUAACACGUGGGUAACCUACCUAUAAGACUGGGAUAACUUCGGGGAAACCGGAGCUAAUACCGGAUAACAUUUGGAACCGCAUGGUUCUAAAGUGAAAGAUGGUUUUGCUAUCACUUAUAGAUGGACCCGCGCCGUAUUAGCUAGUUGGUAAGGUAACGGCUUACCAAGGCGACGAUACGUAGCCGACCUGAGAGGGUGAUCGGCCACACUGGAACUGAGACACGGUCCAGACUCCUACGGGAGGCAGCAGUAGGGAAUCUUCCGCAAUGGGCGAAAGCCUGACGGAGCAACGCCGCGUGAGUGAUGAAGGGUUUCGGCUCGUAAAACUCUGUUAUUAGGGAAGAACAAACGUGUAAGUAACUGUGCACGUGCUUGACGGUACCUANCAGAAAGCCACGGCUAACAAC